rnacentral:lncRNA from 1 species
UAGGGCACUCCCUUGCAUAGUGCUGGGCACUGCCGCAUAUGCGACAGGUGUUGUUGAGGCGGUAGCAGGGUCGGUCCCCAUGAUCCCUGCCGCAGUACUGGCAGAUCUUCCCACGUGCUGCCCCCGUAGCCUGAGGAGGGGCCUGGACGGCGGGUCUGGGCCUCUUACUGGGUUGGACAGGCAUGGUAGGUGCUGGCCUGCGGAGC